rnacentral:rRNA from 1 species
GGGUUGUGAGGUUAAGCGACUAAGCGUACACGGUGGAUGCCCUGGCAGUCAGAGGCGAUGAAGGGCGUGCUAAUCUGCGAUAAGCGCCGGUAAGGUGAUAUGAACCGUUAUAACCGGCGAUACCCGAAUGGGGAAACCCAGUGUGAUUCGUCACACUAUCAUUACGUGAAUACAUAGCGUAAUGAAGCGAACCGGGGGAACUGAAACAUCUAAGUACCCCGAGGAAAAGAAAUCAACCGAGAUUCCCCCAGUAGCGGCGAGCGAACGGGGAGGAGCCCAGAGCCUGAAUCAGCAUGUGUGUUAGUGGAAGCGUCUGGAAAGGCGCGCGAUACAGGGUGACAGCCCCGUACACAAAAGCGCAUGUGUUGUGAGCUCGAUGAGUAGGGCGGGACACGUGGUAUCCUGUCUGAAUAUGGGGGGACCAUCCUCCAAGGCUAAAUACUCCUGACUGACCGAUAGUGAACCAGUACCGUGAGGGAAAGGCGAAAAGAACCCCGGCGAGGGGAGUGAAAAAGAACCUGAAACCGUGUACGUACAAGCAGUGGGAGCACCCUUUGGGGUGUGACUGCGUACCUUUUGUAUAAUGGGUCAGCGACUUAUAUUCUGUAGCA